CGCUGGCGGCGUGCUUACACAUGCAAGUCGAACGAUGAUCCUCAGCUUGCUGGGGGGAUUAGUGGCGAACGGGUGAGUAACACGUGAGUAACCUGCCCUUGACUCUGGGAUAAGCCUGGGAAACUGGGUCUAAUACCGGACAUGACUGCUCCGCGCAUGCGGUGGUGGUGGAAAGCUUUUGCGGUUUUGGAUGGACUCGCGGCCUAUCAGCUUGUUGGUGGGGUAAUGGCCUACCAAGGCGACGACGGGUAGCCGGCCUGAGAGGGUGACCGGCCACACUGGGACUGAGACACGGCCCAGACUCCUACGGGAGGCAGCAGUGGGGAAUAUUGCACAAUGGGCGGAAGCCUGAUGCAGCGACGCCGCGUGAGGGAUGACGGCCUUCGGGUUGUAAACCUCUUUCAGUAGGGAAGAAGCUUUCGGGUGACGGUACCUGCAGAAGAAGCGCCGGCUAACUACGUGCCAGCAGCCGCGGUAAUACGUAGGGCGCAAGCGUUAUCCGGAAUUAUUGGGCGUAAAGAGCUCGUANGCGGUUUGUCGCG
rnacentral:rRNA from 1 species